rnacentral:rRNA from 1 species
CCUGGCGGCCGUAGCGCGGUGGUCCCACCUGAUACCAUGCCGAACUCAGAAGUGAAACGCCGUAGCGCCGAUGGUAGUGUGGGGUCUCCCCAUGCGAGAGUAGGGAACUGCCAGGC